UUGGCGGACGGGUGAGUAACGCGUGAGUAACCUGCCUUUCANAGGGGGAUAACGUUCUGAAAAGAACGCUAAUACCGCAUAACAUCAAUUUAUCGCAUGAUAGGUUGAUCAAAGGAGCAAUCCGCUGGAAGAUGGACUCGCGUCCGAUUAGCCAGUUGGCGGGGUAACGGCCCACCAAAGCGACGAUCGGUAGCCGGACUGAGAGGUUGAACGGCCACAUUGGGACUGAGACACGGCCCAGACUCCUACGGGAGGCAGCAUG
rnacentral:rRNA from 1 species